UCCUGAUUUAUAUGUUUUUACGAAAACAUGGCGUUGAAGUAUCACGGCACAUGUAGAUUGAUAUUACGAAUAAAAUUCAAGAUUUAUUAAGUGAAUAAGAUUUACAUUCGAUAUAUGGGUUGUCUGUAUACAACUAUUUAGUGAAAUUUAUGAAUUUCUGCAAAAAGGGUGCUGUUAAAGCAGUUGUACCAAGUAUAAUCAAAGGAAAUUGAAAAAGAAAAUGAACUUGCCAAGGUAGAAAUGAAUCCAAUAUAUAUUAAAAGAAAUAUGUAAAAUUAUAAAUAAAAUAAAUUGUAAUAUCCAAUAAAAUAUAAUAAGGAAAUAUAGUAAUAACACAAUGAACACAAUUAACGUUGUUUUUUAAUAAACUACAUUAAUUUGCCUUUAAAUUGGCAAUUUUUGAAAA